CAGUCGCCGCGGGAAUACGGAGGGGGCUAGCGUUGUUCGGAAUUACUGGGCGUAAAGCGCACGUAGGCGGCUUGGUAAGUUAGAGGUGAAAGCCCGGAGCUCAACUCCGGAAUUGCCUUUAAGACUGCCGAGCUAGCAGGUGAGAGAGGUAAGUGGAAUUCCGAGUGUAGAGGUGAAAUUCGUAGAUAUUCGGAAGAACACCAGUGGCGAAGGCGGCUUACUGGCUCAUACUGGACGCUGAGGUGCGAAAGCGUGGGGAGCAAACAGGAUUAGAUACCCGUGUAGUCCCUGUCUCUUAUAC
rnacentral:rRNA from 1 species